CAGUCGCCGCGGUAAUGCGGAGGGGGCUAGCGUUGUUCGGAAUUACUGGGCGUAAAGCGCACGUAGGCGGCUUGGUAAGUUAGAGGUGAAAGCCUGGAGCUCAACUCCAGAAUUGCCUUUAAGACUGCCGAGCUAGCAGGUGAGAGAGGUAAGUGGAAUUCCGAGUGUAGAGGUGAAAUUCGUAGAUAUUCGGAAGAACACCAGUGGCGAAGGCGGCUUACUGGCUCAUACUGGACGCUGAGGUGCGAAAGCGUGGGGAGCAAACAGGAUUAGAUACCCCCGUAGUCCCUGUCUCUUAUAC
rnacentral:rRNA from 1 species